GCCUGUUUAUCAAAAACAUUUCUGAGGGGAAAAUGUUUUUGGUUUAACCUGCUCAAUGCUUUAGUAAAUAGCUGCAGUAUUUUGACUGUACAAAGGUAGCAUAAUCAUUAGUCUUUUGAUUGAAGGCUUGUAUGAAUGGUUGAACAGAAUAUUAACUUUUUUAAUUACACGAAAUUUUAACUUGUAGUUUAUGUAAAAAUACAUAGUUAUUUAAAAGGGACGAUAAGACCCUAUAGAAUUUAAAAACAGAUCUGAGAAAUUUUUGUUUUUUUGUUGGGGUGACAGUAAAUAAACUUUUCUUGAAUUUUCAUUGAUGAGUGAUUGAGUGAUCCUAUUAUUUUAGAGAAAAAGAUAAAAUUACCUUAGGGAUAACAGCAUAAUUUUUUUAAAAAGAUCUUAUUAAUAAAAGAGAUUAUGACCUCGAUGUUGAAUUAAAAUAAAAUUUUGGUGUAGAAGCUUAAUUUUUUAGUCUGUUCGACUUUAAAUUUUACAUGAUCUGAGUUCAGACCGG
rnacentral:rRNA from 1 species